GACAGCAGACUACUUACUGGCAGUGAGAGGUAUGGGACUACUUACUGGCAGUGAGAGGUAUGGGACUACUUACUGGCAGUGAGAGGUAUGGGACUACUUACUGGCAGUGAGAGGUAUGGGACAGCAGACUACUUACUGGCAGUGAGAGGUAUGGGACUACUUACUGGCAGUGAGAGGUAUGGGACUACUUACUGGCAGUGAGAGGUAUGGGACAGCAGACUACUUACUGGCAGUGAGAGGUAUGGGACAGCGGACUACUUACUGGCAGUGAGAGGUAUGGGACUACUUACUGGCAGUGAGAGGUAUGGGACUACUUACUGGCAGUGAGAGGUAUGGGACUACUUACUGGCAGGGAGAGGUAGGCAUUGAAGUACUCCACAAACAGAUCAUCAGUAGCCAGAAAGUCCUCCUGAAACAAAAACAGAAUAUGCUAGCACAAGACAGACAGCACCUAACUGACCUACAACAUCGUUGGAAUAGAACAAGGUCACAUGUGCCAUGCAUCGUGAAGGAUGCAGUCCAGCAUCAUUGAUUGAACCUGUUGACUGAGGCCUCCCAUGUAAGUUUCAGGACACCACAGGAACAGUGUUCCUGCUACACAUGUGAGGGGCUGCUUCAUCCACUUCACUCAGUGGAUCUUGCAUCAUGUUUGGUCUUGCUCCUGGCUAUACAAGACAAUGUUCUACCUGGAUCCAACAAGAUGGCUACAUGGGCUGUGUUUCUUAGAUCUCUGAAACCAAUGAAGGAUGCCACACUAACAACAGCCCCAAAGGGUAGCAUCACCUGGACAGCUGCAGCUGGGACGACCCUGUCCAUGUGUCAUCAAGGGAUAGCAGUCAGUGCAAUAUGCCAAGAGGUUCUUGUGUUGGCAGCAGCAUCUUCUCUGCCCAGCCAUUGACAUCAUCGACUAUGCUGUUGCUGUUGUACCUUCACUGACUGCUGUUGUAUUCAAAGAAGUAACAUCUCAAGUUUAUUAAAUCAAUAAUAUAUUGGUAA